rnacentral:rRNA from 1 species
GACGAACGCUGGCGGCGUACUUAACACAUGCAAGUCGAGCGGUAAGGCCCUUUCGGGGGUACACGAGCGGCGAACGGGUGAGUAACACGUGGGUGACCUGCCCUCAGCUCUGGGAUAAGCCUGGGAAACUGGGUCUAAUACCGGAUAUGACUCCAUGACGCAUGUUGUGGGGUGGAAAGCCUUGUGCGGCUAGGGAUGGGCCCGCGGCCUAUCAGCUUGUUGGUGGGGUGAUGGCCUACCAAGGCGACGACGGGUAGCCGGCCUGAGAGGGCGACCGGCCACACUGGGACUGAGACACGGCCCAGACUCCUACGGGAGGCAGCAGUGGGGAAUCUUGCGCAAUGGCGAAAGCCUGACGCAGCGACGCCGCGUGAGGGAUGACGGCCU